rnacentral:miRNA from 1 species
UUCCUCAGAAUAAACCUCUUUAAAAGGGAUAUUGAUGGAAAUGUACAAUUACCAGUAAUUGAGGUUUUAUCUGAGGGGAU